UACAGAGGUCCCAAGCGUUGUUCGGAUUCACUGGGCGUAAAGGGUGCGUAGGCGGGUCUUUAAGUCAGGGGUGAAAUCCUGGAGCUCAACUCCAGAACUGCCCUUUGAUACUGAAGAUCUUGAGUUCGGGAGAGGUGAGUGGAACUGCGAGUGUAGAGGUGAAAUUCGUAGAUAUUCGCAAGAACACCAGCGGCGAAGGCGGCAUCCUGGCCCUGUACUGACGCUGAGGCGCGAUAGCGUGGGAGCAAACGGG
rnacentral:rRNA from 1 species